rnacentral:lncRNA from 1 species
CUUUUAAGGAGGAGCAGACCACCUGCUCUACAAAGAUGGGGACAUGACUGUCAUUUGUUUGGUGAGCAGAUGUGCCAGCUACCCAGAGGGGACAGUCAUGGUACUUGGUGAGAUUCUGCCAGGAAAUGGUCCCCCUGCCUCCACUGGGGCAGGUAUGGAGAGCAGCCAUAGCCCAAGGGAGGAAGAAUGAACAUAGUGCUCCCUCCUCCUCAUUCCCUCUCCCAAAGGUCAGAAUAGUAGAAGAACCGAUGACCCACACUCAUAACAGUGAAACUUGCUGGGGAAUCGGAGGGAAUUCUUUGUGCCAACAAAAUCACAGAGCUGUCCUUUUUCUUGUAAUGAAGCUGAGAUAA